GCUGGGCAUAGUGGUGCGUGCCUGUAAUCCCAGUGGCUUAGGAGGCUGAGGCAGGAGGAUCACAAGUUCAAAGCCAGCCUCAGCAACUGCGAGGUGCUAAGCAACUCAGUGAGACCCCGUCUCUA
rnacentral:sRNA from 1 species